GACGUACGCUGGCGGCGUGCUUAACACAUGCAAGUCGAACGCAGUGGCGAACGGGUGAGUAACGCGUAAUCAACCUGCCCUUCAGAGGGGGAAAACAGUUGGAAACGACCGCUAAUACCGCAUACUGAAGGAGGGGAUUGAGUCUGAUUAGCUAGUUGGGGGGGUAACGGCCCACCAAGGCGAUGAUCAGUAGCCGGUCUGAGCGGAUGAACGGCCACAUUGGGACGGAGACACGGCCCAGAAUCCUACGGGAGGCAGCAGUGGGGAAUCUUCCGCAAUGGACGAAAGUCUGACGGAGCAACGCCGCGUGAGUGAUGACGGCCUUCGGGUUGUAAAGCUCUGUUAAUCGGGACGCGGUACCGAAAUAGAAGGCCACGGCUAACUACGUGCCAGCCGCCGCGGUAAUUC
rnacentral:rRNA from 1 species